AUAUGGGUAGUUCAGUUGGUAGAGCAUCAGGCUUUUAAUCUGGGGCGUGGGGGGGGGGCGUCCAAGGUUCAAAUCUUUAUUCAGGCA
rnacentral:tRNA from 1 species